rnacentral:rRNA from 1 species
UAGGGAAUCUUCCACAAUGGGACGCAAGUCUGAUGGAGCAACGCCGCGUGAGUGAAGAAGGUCUUCGGAUCGUAAAACUCUGUUGUUAGAGAAGAACACGAGUGAGAGUAACUGUUCAUUCGAUGACGGUAUCUAACCAGCAAGUCACGGCUAACUACGUGCAAG